AAUAUUGCACAAUGGGCGCAAGCCUGAUGCAGCAACGCCGCGUGAGGGAUGACGGCCNNNGGGUUNUAAACCUCUUUUGUCAGNGACNAAGCCUUUGGGUGACGGUACCUGGAGAAAAAGCACCGGCUAACUACGUGCCAGCAGCCGCGGUAAUACGUAGGGUGCAAGCGUUGUCCGGAAUUAGUGGGCGUAAAGAGCUCGUAGGCGGCUUGUCGCGUCUGCUGUGAAAACCCGAGGCUCAACCUCGGGCCUGCAGUGGGUACGGGCAGGCUAGAGUGCGGUAGGGGAGAUUGGAAUUCCUGGUGUAGCGGUGGAAUGCGCAGAUAUCAGGAGGAACACCGAUGGCGAAGGCAGAUCUCUGGGCCGCUACUGACGCUGAGGAGCGAAAGCAUGGGGAGCGAACAG
rnacentral:rRNA from 1 species